AUGGUUGUUCUGAGAAUGCCACUUAAUAAAAAUGAGCUACUUUGCAAACUUCGAGGUCAUAUCAUGUCCAUUCAUAAUGCAGAUUCCCGAGAGAAAGAAUGGAUGCGUAGCUCCAAGCCCUACCCACUAAGUAUAAGUCUUAGACAACUACAAGACUUACUAAAGAAUACACGGGCUAUUGAUGUCGACAGUUUUAACAUGGUUGUUCGAGUAAAUGCUACAGACGACAUUCAAUGGGCUAAAGACACUCCAUAUCACUAUAUGGAUCUCAGAUUUUCUAUGAUACUAAAUGACUCUACACAAGAUCCAAAACUCCGUUUACCAUUUGAUGCCCAACGCUACAUUAUUGCAAAACUAUUUCAUUGUUGGCCUGAUAUGUGCUUUGACGUCUCGGUGUGCAAGUUGAUUUUGUUGCCGUUUUGUACAACCGGUCGCUUCAUCCUCUUCCUGUUCGACCUAUUGGAUAGAACAAUCACUAUACUCGACCCUCUUCCCCUAUCGGAUGCAUGGAAAAAAGAAUCCUUCACAGAAGAACAUAUUUAA
rnacentral:rRNA from 1 species